rnacentral:piRNA from 1 species
UGGUCUAUGUGCGCCUAGUCCAUGUUGC